GGCGCCCUAUGUGACGUCAGUGCGCGGCGCCGGCGGGGCCGCACUGCCGCCAUGGCCGACAUGGCGGAUCUGUUCGGCAGCGACGCGGACUCGGAGCCCGAGCACAAAGAUUCCGAUUCUGGCUCUGAUUCAGAUUCUGACCAGGAGAACGCUGGCUCUGGGAGCAAUGCUUCUGGGAGCGACAGCGAGCAGGACGACGACAGGGAGGCAAUAAAACCCAGUAACAAGGAGUUAUUUGGAGAUGACAGCGAGGAUGAAGGGGCAUCCCGUCACUCGGGGAGCGACAACCACUCAGAGAGAUCCUACAACCGCUCGGAGGCCUCGGAGCACGAGGACAACGAGCAGUCGGAUGGGGAGCAGCACAGCGCUUCCGAGGCUGCGCACGACGACGACGAGGAUGAGCGUGAGCAUGGCUCAGAGGAAGGCAGCCAUCAUUCAGAGGGAGAUGGCUCUGAGAAAGCGCACUCAGAGGAUGAGAAGUGGGGCAAGGAGGACAAAAGUGAUCAGUCAGAUGAUGAGGAAAGGCAACAGAACUCUGACGACGAGGAGAGACAGCAGAACUCUGACGAUGAGGAGAAAGUGCAGAACUCAGAUGAAGACGAAAGGCCGCAGGUGUCUGAUGAUGAGGAAAGACUCCAGAACUCGGACGAAGAGAAAAUGCAGAACUCUGAUGAUGAGGAAAGGCCUCAGGCCUCGGAUGAGGAGAAGAUGCAGAACUCUGACGAUGAUGAAAGGGCCCAGCGGUCUGAUGAGGAGAAGAUUCAGAACUCUGAUGAUGAGGAAAGGGCCCAGCACUCGGAUGAGGAGGAGCAAGAGCACAAAUCCGUAGAGUCUGCAAGGGGCAGCGAUAGUGAGGAUGAAGUUCUGCGGAUGAAGCGAAAGAAACCAAUUGCAUCAGAUUCAGAAGCUGAGAGUGACACAGAAGGGCAGAAAGAGCAUGCAGAUGUCAUGGAUCUGUUUGGAGGUGCCGAUGACAUAUCCUCAGGGAGUGAUGGAGAAGACAAGCCACCAACCCCAGGACAACCCAUUGAUGAGAAUGGGCUGAGUCAAGAGCAGCAGGAAGAAGAGCCUAUUCCAGAGACCAGAAUAGAGGUAGAAAUACCAAAAGUAAACACAGACUUGGGUAAUGAUUUGUAUUUUGUGAAGCUGCCCAACUUCCUCAGUGUGGAGCCCAGACCUUUUGAUCCCCAGUAUUAUGAAGAUGAAUUUGAGGAUGAGGAGAUGCUUGAUGAAGAGGGUAGAACUAGGCUAAAACUCAAGGUAGAGAACACAAUACGAUGGCGGAUGCGACGAGAUGAGGAAGGGAAUGAGAUCAGAGAAAGUAAUGCACGGAUAGUUAAAUGGUCAGAUGGAAGCAUGUCCCUCCACUUGGGCAAUGAGGUCUUCGAUGUGUACAAGGCACCGCUACAAGGAGAUCACAAUCAUCUGUUCAUCAGACAAGGGACAGGCCUGCAAGGACAGGCUGUGUUCAAGACCAAGUUAACCUUCAGGCCACACUCUACAGACAGUGCCACUCACAGGAAGAUGACUCUGUCUCUGGCAGACAGAUGUUCAAAGACCCAGAAAAUUCGUAUUUUGCCAAUGGCAGGCCGUGAUCCAGAGUCUCAGCGCACAGAAAUGAUCAAGAAAGAAGAGGAGAGGCUGAGGGCUUCCAUCCGCAGGGAGUCGCAGCAGCGCCGGAUGCGGGAGAAGCAGCACCAGCGGGGGCUGAGCGCCAGUUACCUGGAGCCCGACCGCUACGACGAGGAGGAUGAGGGGGAUGAUGCAAUCAGUCUGGCAGCUAUCAAAAACAGAUACAAAGGUGGCAUCAGAGGUAAUCAUAAACCUGAACAGCUUGUCAUUAAGGCCUGUGUGAUUCAGAUAGGCUGAUUGCACAGGAGAGCCUUGAGGAACGUGCUAGAAUCUACUCUUCAGACAGUGACGAAGGCUCAGAUGAAGAUAAAACUCAAAGACUACUCAAGGCAAAGAAACUUAACAGUGAUGAGGAAGGUGAACCUUCUGGAAAGAGAAAAGCAGAUGAUGAUGACAAAGCAAGUAAAAAGCCUAAGAAAUACGUGAUCAGUGAUGAAGAGGAAGAAGAUGAUGAUUAAUAUUAAGGAAGCGCAGCAGUUACUUUUUUUGUUUCUGUUUUUUCUAUAUAUAUGUUUAUAUAUAUUGUACAGUUCUGUUUGAGCACAGAUGUAAGUAACCAUAAGGGGCUUAUUUUGAUAAAGGAAAAUUCCUAAGUCUGCGUUUCUGGUGUGAAUAAAGUUUUUUUGACUUCCUUUGACUCUAA